CAUGGGUAUGGAUAUGGGCUAGUGAUAACUAAGCCUGAAUCUGCAGAGAAAAAUACAAUUGCAAAGUUUCCAGUGCAUCACAUUUAAAGCAACUAUGUCCCAGGUUGUUUGUACUUUGUUAUUGGCCAGUUUGGUGCUACCAUCAAGACUGCUGUGAGAAGCCUGGAAGAAGAAUACUGGGAUUGUACAUCUUCAAAUAAAGAAAUUCUUAAACUUUA